CCACUGGACACCGAACACCACCGCCACCUUGUCAGCUUUGUGCCGCCGCCGUCUGUCGAUUCCAAUCGCAUACAACCACACUAUUCAACUCCCCACUUCAUUCUCUAGAAAACCAUGUUUUUCGAUUAAGCAAACACCCAAGUUUUUCCCCAAAUCGGUCUUGAGACAGACCAAGCCAUUUGAAGGGCUUCCAGCGAUUCCAUGGCUCCGGCGAGCUUUUUAACCUUCACCUUGGUCUCUCCUCCAUUGUUCUCCCCCUUCUCAGCGUAACCAAGACUCUCCGAUGAGCAUGUCAACCUUAUCUUGACAAAGUGGUAGCUACAUGGAGGCUCUGAAGUGAAUUUGAAAUGCAGCGGUGUGGCAGCUACAACUAGGAUUCAAGAGCACGGUGCCCAGCAACCUCCGAUUUCGACUUUGAGUUCUUGGAGAGUUGAUGCAAUGAGAUCGUACAAAGCUAGAGCAGCAAUAGCAGGAUUACUUUCGAAACUGGAAUAGCAGCGAGGAUUCUGCACUUCAAUCCAGUUUUCUGUGCAGGUUAGGAGCCAGCAAGAGUUUAGGAAAUAUGAAGUUUAGGAGUACACACCAUUUGAAUCGUUUGAAGUCAUUUUUAUUCUAUUAGUUCUCUCUUGUAUCUUGUUCUUAUUUAGAUAUAAGUUCUGAGGUUGUAUUAUAAACCAUGUCACAUUCGUUGUAUAUUUUGGGUUGUCAUAGUUGUAUUUAUUUUGUGCUGGUGACUCUUUGAUUA